rnacentral:rRNA from 1 species
UACGGAGGGUGCAAGCGUUGUCCGGAUUUACUGGGCGUAAAGCGCGCGCAGGCGGCUGGCCAAGUCCGAUGUGAAAGCUUCCGGCUUAACUGGAAAACGGCAUCGGAUACUGGUCGACUGGAAGGUGGGAGAGGGUAGCGGAAUUCCCGGUGUAGUGGUGAAAUGCGUAGAUAUCUGGAGGAAUACCGGUGGCGAAGGCGGCAUCCUGGACCGGCAUUGACGCUGAGGAGCGAAAGCCAGGGGAGCAAACGGG